rnacentral:tRNA from 1 species
GGGAUUGUGGCUCAGUGAUAGAACGCUUGCCUGUCAUGCAGGAGGCACUGGGUUCGAUCCUCAGCACCA